ACGUUAAUCGGGGCAGGGUGAGUCGACCCCUAAGGCGAGGCCGAAAGGCGUAGUCGAUGGGAAACAGGUUAAUAUUCCUGUACUUGGUGUUACUGCGAAGGGGGGACGGAGAAGGCUAUGUUGGCCGGGCGACGGUUGUCCCGGUUUAAGCGUGUAGGCUGGUUUUCCAGGCAAAUCCGGAAAAUCAAGGCUGAGGCGUGAUGACGAGGCACUACGGUGCUGAAGCAACAAAUGCCCUGCUUCCAGGAAAAGCCUCUAAGCAUCAGGUAACAUCAAAUCGUACCCCAAACCGACACAGGUGGUCAGGUAGAGAAUACCAAGGCGCUUGAGAGAACUCGGGUGAAGGAACUAGGCAAAAUGGUGCCGUAACU
rnacentral:rRNA from 1 species